GCCAAUGUGGUAUAGUGGUUUGAAUGUUGGACCAAGACUCUGGGAAAGCAGGGUUCGAAUCCCUGCUCUGUCA